CGGCGUCGACACCGGUGCCGCCGGCAGGAUCACGUGCUCCCUGCAGUCCGACAUCCGGGAGGUCGCCAACAAGUGCGCCGAUGCCGCCAAGCUCGCCGGCUUCGCCCUCGCCACCUCAGCUCUGCUCGUCUCGGUAAGACCUUAAUUAGGAUUUAGGAGUAUGUUGCAUGGCGCCAUGGCCAAGGCCAAGGUGGAAACGAUCGAAUUACUAUAUAUGUAACGCCGUGCAUGUGGUGGCCGGCCGGUGUAGGGCGCCAGCGCGGAGGGCGUGCCGAGGAGGCUUACCUUCGACGAGAUUCAGAGUAAGACGUACAUGGAGGUGAAGGGAACCGGCACGGCGAACCAGUGCCCGACGGUGGAGGGCGGCGUCGACUCCUUCGCCUUCAAGGCCGGCAAGUACAACAUGAAGAAGUUCUGCCUGGAGCCGACGUCCUUCACCGUUAAGGCGGAGGGCGUGGCCAAGAACGCGCCACCCGAGUUCCAGAAGACCAAGCUCAUGACCCGCCUGACCUACACCCUCGACGAGAUCGAGGGCCCGCUCGAGGUCAGCUCCGACGGAACCAUCAAGUUCGAGGAGAAGGACGGAAUCGACUACGCCGCCGUCACCGUGCAGCUGCCGGGAGGCGAGCGCGUGCCGUUCCUCUUCACCAUCAAGAAUCUGGUCGCCACCGGCAAGCCGGAGAGCUUCGGCGGGCCCUUCCUCGUGCCCAGCUACCGUGGUUCGUCCUUCCUCGACCCAAAGGGCCGCGGUGGCUCUACCGGCUACGACAACGCUGUGGCGCUCCCCGCCGGAGGCAGAGGAGACGAGGAGGAGCUCGCUAAGGAGAACGUCAAGAACGCCUCGUCGUCGACGGGCAACAUCACGUUGAGCGUCACCAAGAGCAAGCCAGAGACCGGCGAGGUGAUUGGCGUCUUCGAGAGCGUGCAGCCGUCGGACACAGACCUCGGCGCCAAGGUGCCCAAGGAUGUCAAGAUCCAAGGGGUGUGGUACGCGCAGCUCGAGUAGGGAAUGAACAAAUGUUUUGUGCGUGGCCGGGUUGAUAUAUCGAUACAUGGAGAGAGGGAAGGAAGGCUGCAAUGUGUGUAUCUAGUAAUGCAAACUCGAUCGGG
rnacentral:lncRNA from 1 species